ensembl:lncRNA
UGUCAGCUAUGACUAUAUUAAUGUGAUACAAUCAAUUUGCAUAAUUAGUAUUAAUGAACCCAUGAAAACAGAAUCUUUUGAAAUGUUCAAGCUUGAGGGACCAAACCAACAUUGUUUCACAUGGUUUGGCUGAACCAAGUCUUUCUUUUACAUAAACAAGCUAGAAAGCCAACCACAGUUACUUCUGUAAAUCUUUUUUUAAAUGUUAUUAUAGUAAUGUGUGCUUUUGGUUGGAUAAGCCCUUUAAGGAUUUAAUUAAUUGCAUUGCAUGGGGCUUGUUGAAUGCAAUGUUUGACCUGAAUAGACGUCCAUAUAGCCCCCCAACUGUUUGAGCUACAAACAAAUAAAUGACAUUCUGAAACACAACAGUCCAGGGAUCACAAAUUUACUCUGAGUCACCAGCACGUUUCUAAAGGUCUCUUGUUACAAAAACAAAAUGCAGUAAAGGCAAAUCAUUUUAAAUGAAUAUUUUUUCAGACCUACAUAGGUCCUAAAACAAUUACAUUCCUUAGGGAUGAACGGUAAGUCCAACUAUCAAGAUGUCUGUAUGUGGUUAGCUAACCAGAAAUGUCUUAAGGCAAAUAAGGACAAAGACUCCAUGGAACAGCCAAGUCCAUUUCCUUUGCUUGUGCUAUAGAAACUACUCACAAGCAAACAAAAAAACUCAAUUACCAUGUACAACUAGUGUGCAAACUUGGGCUGACCUCUGUGUACACCCAUCCCUCCUCCCCCCUCCUCCCACCUCAUCCCUCCUCCCACUCACCCCCCCUCCUCCUCCCACUCACCCUCCUCCCACCUCCUCCGUCACACCUCACAUAUUGAGAUCACACUUCACUGAGAAGCAGCGAGGAGCAUGAGGCUCUUCUUGACCGAGACAGCGUGAGGAAAAGAAGAGGCUGUAUUAGUCUGAUGGUCCUAGAAGGGCAUAGAAACGUCUCCUUGAUAACCAUGACAACAGAUGAUGACUCAAGCACAAUGACCUUAAGACUUGGUUCUCUCUGCCCACUUCGGCCAAAGCUCGUCUGACAGAGAUACAGCUUUGAACCUGAACUGACCGGUGUGGUGGCGCCGGAGACAAGUGUGACGUUGGCGGAUCACAAUAAUCCUGUGUCCUGCUAGUCCAGUCCAUACUCGAACAACACCUCUUCACUUAGAUUAAUUGACAAAACAAGACCCAAGCAGAAGGUUAAUUUACUCUCAGAGUCUUAAGUCUCUUGAUCCACUGGUCUCAGGACAGUAUUAACUGGAUCCUUCAGGAUGUUGGCAGUGAGAGCUUUCAUCCACUUCUGAAGUCAGGUUACCUUGUGGAUGACAAUUGUGUCUAUGCCUGCAUUUAACUGUUUUAUAUAAUAGAAUUGUAGUCCUUGUCAUACUGGAUGCAGAGACCUAGAAAUGCUGAAAGACAGAUGCAUCUCAAAUACCCUUCAAAAGCCAGAAGAAAGCAGAUGUUUACAACCACAACCUACUGUUAACUCAGGCUAGGUCAGGGUGAACCAAGGCCCCAGAGGUGACUGAACACACCUCGUUGACAUUGAGGCCUAGUUGAAGGUGGGAGGGGUUAACAGCAUGGUCAAGGGACACAUGGUUGCUGAGAUGGUUACUAAUACUGCAUAGUGCUGUCUCUAGCCCUUUGGCUGCCUUAAGCAAAAUGUCAGUCGGGGCCCCCUUUCCCCUAUCAGUUGGGGACUCCCAAACAAUCAGGGGCCCUAAGUAACCACUUAUGUUGCUUACGCCUGGAGGCAGCCCAGCUUUCACAUACGACAGCCGUUGGCAGCGCAGUAACGUUUGUCAACCUCCAUUUUUAUGUUAACACGAAUUACUGAAUUAAAUGUUUUAAAACUCAUUUAGAUUACGGGCUACUCUGCAAACUGCUGUGUGGGGUGACUUUUUAAAAUAUCACUAGAAUCUCCUUAUAUCUGGUGAAGGUGAUAAGACAAAUCAAUUAAUAGAUUUUCUUUAAUGUGGCUUCUACGUAAUUCAAACAUAAGACUAAAAAUCAUUACAGCUGAAGAGGGUGUUAAAUCAACAGCCCAGGCAGACCAAUAAAAUAAGGCCUGUUACAGUCCAAGGUGAAUGAGACCUUGAAGACAUUCUACUGAAAGAAGAGCAGAGUAGAAUGGAAGUGUUUCUGGAAAUGCUUUGUCGAAAUGACACUCCACACAAUACCAAGGUCACAAAUGACCUGAUAUCUCAGAGCCCCCUCAAUGCAACAGGCAGC